CCUACGGGAGGCUGCAGUGGGGAAUAUUGGACAAUGGGCGAAAGCCUGAUCCAGCCAUGCCGCGUGUGUGAAGAAGGCCUUCGGGUUGUAAAGCACUUUCAGUGGGGAAGAAAGCCUUGGGGCUAAUACCCUCGAGGAAGGACAUCACCCACAGAAGAAGCACCGGCUAACUCCGUGCCAGCAGCCGCGGUAAUACGGAGGGUGCGAGCGUUAAUCGGAAUUACUGGGCGUAAAGCGCGCGUAGGCGGUCUGAUAAGCCGGUUGUGAAAGCCCCGGGCUCAACCUGGGAACGGCAUCCGGAACUGUCAGGCUAGAGUGCAGGAGAGGAAGGUGGAAUUCCCGGUGUAGCGGUGAAAUGCGUAGAGAUCGGGAGGAAUACCAGUGGCGAAGGCGGCCUUCUGGACUGACACUGACGCUGAGGUGCGAAAGCGUGGGUAGCAAACAGGAUUAGAUACCCCAGUAGUC
rnacentral:rRNA from 1 species